rnacentral:rRNA from 1 species
CUCGAGCGAGUGGCGAACGGGUGAAUUCGCAUGAGGAACGUGCCUCAAAGAGGGGGACAACAGUUGGAAACGACUGCUAAUACCGCAUAAGCCCACAGCUCGGCAUCGAGCAGAGGGAAAAGGAGCAAUCCGCUUUGAGAUGGCCUCGCGUCCGAUUAGCUAGUUGGUGAGGUAAUGGCCCACCAAGGCGACGAUCGGUAGCCGGACUGAGAGGUUGAACGGCCACAUUGGGACUGAGACACGGCCCAGACUCCUACGGGAGGCAGCAGUGGGGAAUAUUGCACAAUGGGGGAAACCCUGAUGCAGCGACGCCGCGUGGAGGAAGAAGGUCUUCGGAUUGUAAACUCCUGUUGUUGAGGAAGAUAAUGACGGUACUCAACAAGGAAGUGACGGCUAACUACGUGCCAGCAGCCGCGGUAAAACGUAGGUCACAAGCGUUGUCCGGAAUUACUGGGUGUAAAGGGAGCGCAGGCGGGAAGACAAGUUGGAAGUGAAAUCUAUGGGCUCAACCCAUAAACUGCGUUCAAAACUGUUUUUCUUGAGUAGUGGAGAGGUACGCGGAAUUCCCGGUGUAGCGGUGGAAUGCGUAGAUAUCGGGAGGACCACCAGUGGCGAAGGCGGCCUACUGGGCACCAACUGACGCUGAGGCUCGAAAGUGUGGGUAGCANACAGGAUUAGAUACCCUGGUAGUCCACACCGUAAACGAUGAUUACUAGGUGUUGGAGGAUUGACCCCUUCAGUGCCGCAGUUAACACAAUAAGUAAUCCACCUGGGGAGUACGACCGCAAGGUUGAAACUCAAAGGAACUGACGGGGGCCCGCACAAGCAGUGGAGUAUGUGGUUUAAUUCGACGCAACGCGAAGAACCUUACCAAGUCUUGACAUCCCUUGACGAACAUAGAAAUAUGUUUUCUCUUCGGAGCAAGGAGACAGGUGGUGCAUGGUUGUCGUCAGCUCGUGUCGUGAGAUGUUGGGUUAAGUCCCGCAACGAGCGCAACCCUUACUGUCAGUUACUACGCAAGAGGACUCUGGCAGGACUGCCGUUGACAAAACGGAGGAGGUGGGGAUGACGUCAAAUCAUCAUGCCCUUUAUGACUUGGGCUACACACGUACUACAAUGGCGUUAAACAAAGAGAAGCAAGACCGCGAGGUGGAGCAAAACUCAGAAACAACGUCCCAGUUCGGACUGCAGGCUGCAACUCGCCUGCACGAAGUCGGAAUUGCUAGUAAUCGUGGAUCAGCAUGCCACGGUGAAUACGUUCNCCGGGCCUUGUACACACCGCCCGUC